rnacentral:tRNA from 1 species
AUUUUCUUAGUAUAAAUAAUACAGGUGAUUUCCAAUCACCUAAUUUUGGUUCAACCCCAAGAGAAAAUA